AACCGUUUAGGGGUAAACCUGAGAAACCCGAAAGAUUGAAUGAGGAGAUUCAUCGUCAACAUUGGCCUGUUAUCAUAUGCUAUGCGAUGAGAGUGAAAUUUAUUUUACAAUCACGCUGGCUUUGUGGUCGCGAGUCGUGUCGGCGUGCACUUCUCCUCUAGUAGAACGUUGCGACCCGCUGGGUGUUGGCUUAAGGACCGAGUUAUUGACUGUUUCAUACGUUUACGCGUGUUGUUGACAGAUGCUUGGAUUUCUGGCUAACUGCUCGGCGGUAUACACAAGGUAUUGAGCCGCAAAUUUUUGAAUGCGUUCAGACUCGUUUGCAAGCUUUAAUCACUUACUUAACUGUCGGAUAUAAUGCCGCUUUUGAGGAUGAUUGGCUGUUGGUGAGCGAUGUUCUCGAACUGGCUAAAGUUGAAARACAACAAUACCGGUCGGCGACGCUAUUGCUUUGGGUACUUUCAGGACCCGUCUUGAAACACGGACCAAGGAGUCUAACAUGUGCGCGAGUCAUUGGGAUUUUUGUGAAACCUAAAGGCGCAUUGAAAGAAAAGAUCAAACUUGUGUUGAUUGAGGGAGGAUGAGCAAUAUUACGUUAUUGCUUCGCACUCCCAGGGUGUCUCUUAAAGUCAUUGCGACUUGAGGCGCACCUAGAGCGUACACGUUGGGACCCGAAAGAUGGUGAACUAUGCCUGGUCAGGAUGAAGUCAGGGGAAACCCUGAUGGAGGUCCGUAGCGGUUCUGACGUGCAAAUCGAUCGC
rnacentral:rRNA from 1 species